rnacentral:rRNA from 1 species
GAUGAACGCUGGCGGCGUGCCUAAUACAUGCAAGUCGAGCGAACGGACGAGAAGCUUGCUUCUCUGAUGUUAGCGGCGGACGGGUGAGUAACACGUGGAUAACCUACCUAUAAGACUGGGAUAACUUCGGGAAACCGGAGCUAAUACCGGAUAAUAUUUUGAACCACAUGGUUCAAAAGUGAAAGACGGUCUUGCUGUCACUUAUAGAUGGAUCCGCGCUGCAUUAGCUAGUUGGUAAGGUAACGGCUUACCAAGGCAACGAUGCAUAGCCGACCUGAGAGGGUGAUCGGCCACACUGGAGCUGAGACACGGUCCAGACUCCUACGGGAGGCAGCAGUAGGGAAUCUUCCGCAAUGGGCGAAAGCCUGACGGAGCAACGCCGCGUGAGUGAUGAAGGUCUUCGGAUCGUAAAACUCUGUUAUUAGGGAAGAACAUAUGUGUAAGUAACUGUGCACAUCUUGACGGUACCUAAUCAGAAAGCCACGGCUAACUACGUG